UACAGAGGUGGCAAGCGUUGUUCGGAAUUACUGGGCGUAAAGGGCGAGUAGGCGGCCUUCUAAGUCAGACGUGAAAUCCCCCGGCUUAACCUGGGAACUGCGUCUGAUACUGGGAGGCUUGAGUAUGGGAGAGGGAUGUAGAAUUCCAGGUGUAGCGGUGAAAUGCGUGGAUAUCUGGAGGAAUACCGGUGGCGAAGGCGGCAUCCUGGACCAUUACUGACGCUGAAUCGCGAAAGCUAGGGGAGCAAACGGG
rnacentral:rRNA from 1 species